rnacentral:rRNA from 1 species
UACGUAGGGUGCGAGCGUUGUCCGGAAUUACUGGGCGUAAAGAGCUCGUAGGUGGUUUGUCGCGUUGUCCGUGAAAACUCACAACUCAAUUGUGGGCGUGCGGGCGAUACGGGCAGACUGGAGUACUGCAGGGGGAGACUGGAAUUCCUGGUGUAGCGGUGGAAUGCGCAGAUAUCAGGAAGAACACCUAUGGCGAAGGCAGCUCUCUGGGACGGUACUGACGCUGAGACGCGAAAGCGUGGGGAGCGAACAGG